rnacentral:lncRNA from 10 species
UGGCCUCCUUGCAGGAGAAAGGCCCGAAGUUAAUUCCGGCUGGAAUGACCCGUGUCCUCUUUCCUCCUAACUUGAGGAUCUCGCCCCGCAGUGCACAGGAAUUAACUUCGUUUGUGGACACUUGGUUUGAUCCUGCCAAACGUCUGUUCUCCAUCCCUUUGAGACAGUUCUUACCUUUCCCUUCCCCCACCUUGCCUCCGUCACCUGUGAUUUGAAGGAGGCUGAUCCAUCCUCCAUCCCAGCUCCUGUAGCCCAGGCCUGGUCAGCAGCAGCCUUGGCCCUGGACUCAGUGAUGGGUUAGAGAUGGUCUCACGUUCCCUGCCAGGCCAGGAGGCUGAAUUCCAGAACUUUGUGGGAACUGGCAGAAGCAGGGAGCUCUCUCUCCACUGCAGUUGGGAGGCUGGUGCGGUGUCAGCCUGGGAUGGCUGAGAGCAUCACACAGAGAAAACCCUGCAAGUAAAGGCAACAGAUGAAAGCAAGUUAAAGCUGGAGAGAGCCUGAGAGAGGAUGGAAACGACUGCCCUUGAGGUCUGGACAGAGGCUCCCGUUACACGAAAGGGCGCAUGAGUUUUAUUUGUUUUUUCACCUAAGCCAGCUUCAGUUGGGUUUGUCACUUGCCACAAAAAGGGCACUGACAAAUGUAGUUUAAGAAGAGAAGCUGGAAGCAGCAAAUGCUUCGCAAAACCCAGGAACAUUUGCCCUUUCACUUGCUGGAUUCCAUGCUGUCGCUGGAGCGAGAGCCUCUCCAGUCCUGCCCAGCUGAGUCAUCACUGCUGACGCCAGUGGAGGAUCUGGCAGGAGCCCUCUGCUCCUCAUUUGGGCGCCCUCAGGGACAUACACCCAGGGGUGUUCCAGGAAAUUUAGCAGGGAAGAUUAAUUAUCCUCCAUGGAGCAGGAAAUCCCACCGCCUUUCAACAGCCAGGAACAGCAGCUGCUAAACAGAAUUCACUGCAGGACAGUCUGCUUCCCUCCCAGGCAUUUGCACGGGGCCUUCCCAGUCAGAAGGCUGGGCAGGAGCUUGUGCAGAGAGAGCUGGAAUUCUGGGAAAACACGUUCCAUCACCAUGGCUGAUUCGGAGUAAAAGACACAUUAACUAAGAAGCUCAGUCUGCAACCCCGUGUGCAAGAAAGUGACUUUGAAAUCGUCUUUCUAUAAUGGAAAUGCACUUCCGUUUCUUUCUCCCAUCUGCGUCCUUGGUGGAGAGGUCAUCCCAGCCAGGUCAGGGUCUCCUGGAAAAGGUGUGUGUGGAGCUGGCGGCAGCUGCAGCGAGGGCUGAUUCCUCACCGGCUGGCUCUGUGCAUCCUCCCAGCCCUGGUCCCCAGCCCUCCCGAGGACAGUUCUGCACACUCCCUGAGACCCUUUACAGGAGCUCAUGUUGACCUAAUCAGCCAAUGUCAUCGUUUGUUCUUAAGAUGUGAAAACCAAAGCUAAGGGAGACAAAAUGACUGCAUCAAGGCCACACCCAGUGAGGGUAGAGACAGGACCAUACCUGAGCUAUCUGACUCCAGGCUCUGCAAUGGAAGUGGCGUCAUUCGUCUGGGGUAAUACCCAAGGUUCGUUGCCUCAUGCCAAGGAAAUCAAGAACGUGGACACACAAAGAGUGAGGUUAACAGUGGAGGUUUAAUAGGUGAAAGAAAGAGAAAAGCUCUCUGUCCUGCAGAGAGAGAGGGGCUCCCAAGUGGGUCUUCUGGUCCUGUGGUGAAAUGCAUGGGGUUUUACAGAUAAGCUUGAGGAGGCAGUGUCUGAUUUGCAUAGGGGGCGAGAGAUUGGUCAGACCAGGUGGGCCAUUUGCAUAACACGUGAAGAAGCUGGCCGUCCCACCCUAAUCUUUUAUUAUGCAGAUGGCAUCUCUAUCUGGAUGGUGGCUUGUUGCCUGCUUCUUUACUGUACACGUGGUUGACAAAGAAAAGGGAAGAUGGAGCCUCCAUGUUGAACAUGUCUGGCUCACAGCACCUGUAUCACAAUGCUAACUACAACAUGAUCAUCCCCCUCAGGGAAGUACAAGGUUAUUUAAAAGGACCAUCCAGGAAGCCUGAAGUACAUAUUGUAAACCAAAAAUAAAAUUCUAAGGCCUCACCAACUAUCUGGAUGGACUCUUCCUCUCAGCCAAGGGUAUUCCAAAGUUAACCUGAAAACCUAGUUCAGGCCAUGAUGGGAAGGGGGAGCCAGGCAUGCCUCAUGAUACCCUCCUCCCUUCUGGAACUACUGGAACAGACUCAGUGUGAUAAAAAUAAAAAGAGAAAAAAAUAUAUUUAUAGUCCAUUCUCUCUAAAGCCUGCUAACUGGAGGCUUCAUCUGCACAAUAAAACUUCCCUCUCCACAACCCUUUAUCUUAGCCUGGAUAUUCCUGUCUAUCAAUGAUAACUCUUUCAGCCAAUUGCCAAUCAGAAAACCUUUGAAUCCACCCAUGACUUGGAAGUCCCCACUUCCAGUUGUCCCACCUUUGUGGACCAAACCAAUGUACAUCUUAUGUGUAUUCAUUGAUGUCUUGUGUCUCCCUAAAAUAUACAAAAACAAGUUGUGGCCCAACCACCUUAGGCACAUUUUCUCAGGAUCUCCUGAGGGCUGUGUCACAGGACAUUGCUCACUUAUAUUUGGCUCAGAAUAAAUCUCUUCAAAUAUUUUACAGAGUUUGGCUCUUUUCAUUGACAAUGUACACAAACAACAUGGGAGAACCAAAAAUGUGUAAAUAAUUUUU